rnacentral:rRNA from 1 species
UACGAAGGGGGCUAGCGUUGCUCGGAAUCACUGGGCGUAAAGGGUGCGUAGGCGGGUUUUUAAGUCAGAGGUGAAAUCCUGGAGCUCAACUCCAGAACUGCCUUUGAUACUGAAAGUCUUGAGUAUGGGAGAGGUGAGUGGAACUGCGAGUGUAGAGGUGAAAUUCGUAGAUAUUCGCAAGAACACCAGUGGCGAAGGCGGCUACCUGGACAGAUACUGACACUGAGGCGCGAGAGCGUGGGGAGCAAACAGG